CUUUUCUGAAUUUUCUCCUUCUUCUUCUUGUUCUUCCUUCCAAUCCCCACAGUUCUUGCAGAACCCAUUCCCUGUCAAAUUCAACAUUGGAUCUCCCUCGUUCACUCUUCCAUGUAAUUGAUCGAAAGACCAGAGGAAUUGAUCUGAAAUACCUGAGUUUCUUCUUCUUGAUUCCUUCCAAGCUCGAGCAAUUCCUGUUAGAUUUUCGAUUAACAAUCACAAGGUUGUUUCGAUUCUCCAGAUGUCGAUAGUUGAGGAUGGCCGUAGCCUGGCAGGCUAUACUCUGGACGACGUUCUGGCUAACAAUAGAUUAGGGCCACCGGCCGCUACAAGGGCCGCUGAAAUCC